rnacentral:rRNA from 1 species
AAGAAAUUAACGAAGAUUUCCCCAGUAACGGCGAGUGAAAAGGAAUCAAGUUCAGCGCCGAAUCCCUUAGCCCAUGGUUAAGGGACCUGUGGCGUGAAGGAGAGCCUAUCUGUCGGGUUCUAAGCCUCGGAAGCUCCCUCGAAUGGGACCCCGAAGCAGGUGCGAGGCCUGUAACGAGGCGAAGCCCGUCAGUUUGAGCCUUCGUAGAGUCGGGUUACUUGAGAGUGUAGCCCUAAGCGGAAGGUAAACCCCUUCUAAAGCUAAAUAUGACCACGAGACCGAUAGCGAACAAGUACCGCGAGGGAAAGUUGAAAAGAACUUUGAAGAGAGAGUUCAAAAGGGCGUGAAACCGCUUAGAAGAAAACGGACGGAGCCGUCAGGAGCCGUCGAGAAUCAGUCGUACGCGUCGCGAACGAUUCGUUUUAGUUGGAACGAAAGUCCAAACUAGAGCGCGUGCAAGUAGCGAUCGCACGACGCAUUUCUCGACGGUAAGCACUGCGACCGAUACGAAAGGUCAGCGAAGCGAACGGAUUGAGGUCGAGAACCGUUAAAAGUUCCUCGUUACCAGUCUGUUCGUCUCGAGUCGCUGAACCGCAGUAUGUAUCGAGCGCCUCGCGUAUGUGCGUCGGCGAAAACGCUCGCUCGAGUGAUGGAUAGUCGAUCGAUUCUUGUUCGAACUCUGCUCGCAGAUUCGGGCGAAUCACGAUCUUAUGGUCGGCUUUUGAAAUCAUCGGCGACGCUCCGACUAUUUUGCACAGGCGUCCGCAGUGUCAGUGUCGGUCACCCGUCCGACCCGUCUUGAAACACGGACCAAGGAGUCUAACAUAUGCGCGAGCUAAUGGGUGGAAAACCCAAAGGCGCAAUAAAAGUAAACGUCAUCUUUAGGUGACUAAGAUACGAUCCUAGACGCCUCAAAAGGGCACUAGGCGCAGUAUCGUCCCGUCUCGACCGCACGUCGGUAGGGCGGAGAUAGGGCGCAUACGUUGGGACCCGAAAGAUGGUGAACUAUGCCUGAGCAGAGCGAAGCCAGAGGAAACUCUGGUGGAGGUUCGUAGCGGUUCUGACGUGCAAAUCGAUCGUCAGACUUGGGUAU